rnacentral:misc_RNA from 1 species
AAGUCGUAACAAGGUAUCCGUAGGUGAACCUGCGGAUGGAUCAUUACCAAAGGAAACAUUCCUGACGUAUUGUGAACUGUUUAGAACCACAGUCAGUUCCUAGUGGGCUGGCUGUACAACAAACGUAGCCAUUUUCGAAACUGAAAUAUUUUUUUAUAUUAAAAAAAACUUUUAGCAACGGAUCUCUUGGCUCUC